UAGAGCUUGAUCAUGGCUCAGAUUGAACGCUGGCGGCAGGCCUAACACAUGCAAGUCGAGCGGUAGCACAGGGAGCUUGCUCCUGGGUGACGAGCGGCGGACGGGUGAGUAAUGUCUGGGAAACUGCCUGAUGGAGGGGGAUAACUACUGGAAACGGUAGCUAAUACCGCAUAACGUCUUCGGACCAAAGAGGGGGACCUUCGGGCCUCUUGCCAUCAGAUGUGCCCAGAUGGGAUUAGCUAGUAGGUGAGGUAAUGGCUCACCUAGGCGACGAUCCCUAGCUGGUCUGAGAGGAUGACCAGCCACACUGGAACUGAGACACGGUCCAGACUCCUACGGGAGGCAGCAGUGGGGAAUAUUGCACAAUGGGCGCAAGCCUGAUGCAGCCAUGCCGCGUGUAUGAAGAAGGCCUUCGGGUUGUAAAGUACUUUCAGCGAGGAGGAAGGCAUUGUGGUUAAUAACCGUCAGUGAUUGACGUACUCGCAGAGAG
rnacentral:rRNA from 1 species